CUGAAUCUGGAAUCUGCAGCGGCUCUGUGGAAGCUGCACUGUUACUGCCUGACACGAGUCUGUAGCUGCUCUUUAGAGGCCUUAAGGGCAGGAUGUGAUGGAAGGGAGCCACUACUACCUGCCAUUAUAGUCCAGUCGCUCUUCUGCUCCAAAGUCCACAAGACUGUGUGCAGGUCAGCCGGUUCACAGAAACAGACUGAUCU
rnacentral:lncRNA from 1 species